rnacentral:lncRNA from 1 species
GAGAUGAGAAAGUGAGUAGGAACACCGUGUGCGGUUGUGCAGGCCAUACACUGCUUCACUUUUAUGAUUGCCAUUCAUAGGGAUUAUGUGAAGAGCCUUAUAGCCAUGUUCCAUGCCUAUGGAGGGAGCCAUUUGGAUAUCAAGGGGGGUCAGAAUUUUCAGCAGGACUUACCAAGAAAUGCCAAGGUUUGGGUUAACCACCCUACCGAGCUGAAUAUUCACAAGUGCAAGUGGAGCUUUUCAAGAUGCUUGAGCAAUUCAUCCAGGAAACAAAGACUCAUUUGAGGCUAUUCUUUAGUGAUACUUCUGGAGCCAAGAAAAGCCAUACAUUGGAGAAGGAAGAAUCAUGCUUGAAGAGUAAAGGUUCCCAGAUGUUUCAGAUAAAAACAAAUAAACAAACAUAAAUAUUAAUAA